ensembl:lncRNA
CUAUGAUUCUAUUAUACUACAUGAAGAACAGUGAGCUAUGGAGAUAGACUGUUUACAGUGAACCACAAUCCAAACUGUACCUCAAAGCUUCCAUAGCAGACAAAGGAGAGUAUCCUUUUGUUUGGUUUGUUUCCAGGUUGUGUGGGCUGUUCAUUGAGAGAGCACCGAAGUGGAUCAGACCCUGCAGGGCAGAGCUGAGGCUGUUUCUGGAAAGUCUGUGGAGACCAUAAGCUUGAGGGUAGCAGCAAAGGACCGGAGUCUGCAGUUCACAGGGAGAAAGUACUGGAAGAAGAGGGACAGAGAAAACCUACACCUGAAAGGGAGAUGACAGAACUCUUCUAGACAGUAUUUCUGGUGCGUCUCUACCUCACAGAAGGUCUGCAUUUUGUGAAUGUCUGCCUCAUAAUUUCCAUUAGAAAUGGAAAUGCAGCUGGGCGAUGAAUAUGCAGAAUACAAGACGUGCUUUGUCCUUUCUUUACCUUUCCUUCUGCUGGAACUGGGAGCAUCUCAAAACCUGAUUUUUGCUGCUGAGAUAUAGCAGUUUUGCAUUCAUUCAUUAUGAUUUGGAUUCCCCCUCAUCUGCUGGAAAUAAUUUUCCUGAGGUAGUUGUGUCUCCUUUUGAAAAGAAAUACUGGUCUAAUAUGAAGAACUCACAUUUAUUUGUAGAUAUCCCAGGAUAUCUACAGGAUGAAGUUUUUGGUUAACAUUUCGGAUCCUUCUCCUUCCUUUUUGGUGUGAGUUUUCUCUGUGUGGGCAGAAGGCAACCCUUGGGGAACAGCUGGCUUCCCAGCUCAGUGCCUUUCGCCCAAAUUGUUUGGUUCCUUUUCAGACAACCCCUUCCAGAUCCUCUAAGGAUUCAGAUGAUAUUCAUGAGUUAGGAUCUUGCUGCUGCCAGACCUGUCUGGCUUACAGGCUAUUUUCUGUUUGUAGCCAGUGCUAUUUGACUGCCCUGUAUGAAAAGCCAGUAAAGUAGAGCAUCUGUAGGGAGCUGCUGAGCAGAUUUGGUGAUUGCUGAUGUCAUAUACAGAAGUUCCUACUCUAGCUUUUUGUAGAGAAGAGAUUGCUUUCAUGUGCUUCUGCUUACUCCAACCACCAGCCUGAAGUCAUGCUUCAACAAAUCAAGAUUAGAAGAUGCAGAUCAAAUAGCUGUGGCAAAUCAAAACAGGCCUUAAAAACUCACAGCAGUAGAACAUACUUAAUGCCAUAGAAUUCCUAUUUUUCUCACUCAUCUGAAGAAGUUAAAUCUCUCUGAAAUGCACUGUGUCUAAAAGAUACAUGAGCUGUAUUUCCAAAAGCUAUUUGAAAGUCCAAGAAAUCCCAGGAUCAUAAGAAAUGGUAAAAAACUUCUUGUCAGUGCAAAUCUCAUCAGUUGCAGCUUGUUUUUCCCUGUCAGCUUGGAUGCAAGGGUGAGCAGAAGGCAUGCAAGCCCUUGCUUUCCUGAACAAUAUCACCUGCAGCCUUCUCCUGUCCUAUGCCGCAUAGAGUUUGAAUGACAUGAAGUAAUUACAGCAAGCUUUAUCAGCAAAAUUCAAGCCCACUGGGCUUUUGAAGAUCAAAAGACUGUCAGGGAUAUGAUCAGUUCCAUUUAUCAUGUUAUCACAGUCUCCAUUUUCACCUUGUUCUUCUGAAUGAUUGCAAAUUCUAGUCUCAGCUGCAGCUUUUAUGCAUCCCUUUCAGUCCUUAGACCUUCAAAUCUAACUAACUGCAUCCCUUUUAUCUGCUCAGUAAUGACUCUCUGGUUGACAUGUUGUUACAAUAGAGUGAAGCUUGAAACUUCCCCUGUGGGCUUGCAAGGCUGAUCAUUUCUAUGGGGGUGCUGAAGAAUGUAGGUUGUGUCUGAAAAACGUGAAAGUGAAAUCUCUUCAGGAUCUGUGUUCCCACAAGCCUUCUUCAUAUUUUUCAUUCUCAGAACUGAAGCAAUAAACUUGUCAGUCCAUCGUGAAUAUUGAAAUCAGAAACAAACAGAAAUGAGACUCUCUGAUAAAGCACCCUGUUCCCCCCUCCCUGCACUCAACACAUUGAUACUGCUACACAGAAGCCUGGCAUUUCAGUCACAAUAGAUGAACUGUUGUUAUGAAGGAUGAUCUGAUUGGAAUAAAUGCGAAUGAAGACUUGCUCAGCCAUAUAUUAAAUGUGCUCUGUGGUCAUGUGUGAGACAAACACAAAUACCAUUAAUCAAAUUUUUAGUAGAUUUUUCCCUUGCCUGCUAGUCUUUUCGUUCUUUUUAAUAGCCAAAAGGAUUUCAGAGAAGAUGAAAAAGGGCAAAACUACUCCCAUUUGGUAAUGCACUGUAACACCACUAAGUCAUCAGGGAAAUGGACCAGGUACCUGAGUACUUGAAGAAACAGCACAGAGUAUUUUGACAGCAACAUGAAAUACUACAUGUUUCUUGGUGAAUUAACCAGAAUAAGGGAAAUGACAACCGAACUCUGCAUCUGCAGAAGACAAAAAUGGCUCUUUCCUUGCACUUAGACAACACAGCUUAGAUAAGCAUACAAACUGCCUGCUGUGCUGCUACUUCAUAACCUGCAUGGCUGGUACGUUGCUAUCCUAGAUGGGUUAACUCCAUGCUGAUAUAGGAAUGGUCAUGAACUAGCAAUUGCAUUUAUUUACUUUGAAAAUACGUGUCAGGUCCACUGACAUAAGUAAGCCAUGGGCACUAAUAAUGACUCCCUGCACAGAGUUAAAAUCCCAGAUGCAUUAGGUCAGGCAUGUCCAACCUGCAGCCUGCAGGCUGCACACAGCCUGGUCCAGCACAUUCUGCAGCUACCCUCUGCCCAGAGCCAUCACGGCAGCAACUCUAUCCCAGUGAGUGGCCUGACUUGACCCCCAGUGCACACUCAUCACUCACAACACCCAUACAUCUGUGUGAUAUUGGCACUGUCUGGGCUGAAGCCAGGGCACAGAGAGGGCGCAGUGAAGUGCUGACUCAAAUUAUAGCAAAUAAUUGUGUGCAGUUUGAUUCAUGACUAAAUGCAGUCCUGUGAACAGCAAAAAAAUAUGCAGCUGUGUUUCUGUCUUGAUAAAGGAAUUUGAGAAUAGGUUUCAAGAUUGCAAAAAAAAUAAUAAUCAUUUUUUUGGACUCCAUUUUCAGUCAACGUAAAUACAUUACCUGCGAAUUUUCAAAUUUAAUGUACUGAGCUGCAAUCAGAUAUUCAUCUCCCUCAUCUUUACUAGACUAUUAUAAGCCUUCUCUUACCAAGGAGAAAUAUCCCACGCUGCACAACCAUACCUUAUUUAUGUCACCGCUUUUGGCAGUACAUACAUUUGUGAACAACUGUUUUCAAGGAUGAGGCACGGGAGUAAAAUUUCAUCAACAAUCUCUAAGAAACACCUGAGAGCUCACUGAGAAUGACAACCACUGCCACUGAACCAGCCUGGUGCAUUAGUUUCACAAAAACAAAGUCACAUAUCCCACUGAUUUUAUGAUUUUGUUGUGUAUUUAAUGUUUUCAUAAGAAAGGAUAAAAAUAAUACAAAAAAAAAAAAAGUUUUGUCACCUAGAUACAUUAACUAUGUUAAAUAUUUCACAAGAGCUCUUUUGAAAGUUACACCUCCUAUUUUAUGAUGUUGACCCAUGACACUAGAGGCAGAUGUUGGUGAUAUGGCAGUAGAGGCUGAACCUUCCCAUCAAUAUUCCGCUGCAGACAGAUGGCAGCAGAGAAACAUUCUAACAAAAUGGUGUUUGAUACGAAAGUAUGUAUGAGGUAAAGGUGUGUCACUGAAUUCCUCCAUGCAGAAAAAAUGGCACCCACUGAUAUUCACUGAUGCUUGCUGAAUAUUUAUGGAGGCCAAAGCGGAUGUGAGCACAGUGAGGUGAUGGGUGGUGUGCUUCAACACUUUUUUUCAUUUCUGGUGAAAAUGCAUAGCUAAUGGUGGCGACUAUGAUCAAAAGCAGUGUUCUGUAGCUGAGAAUUUGCUCUAUCAAACAAUGUUAUUGUGCUCUUUGUACCUGUUGUUGUUUCCAUGGAAAUAAAUAGGCGGAAUUUCUUUCAGAGUAACCUACAUAUAUGGAGCCCAGAACAAUUUCUCUUCACUCACUGCAGCUCAGGCAAUGCAAAAGGUUGGAUGCCCAUGCAUUACACAAUGUUGGUCAAGUUCUUUGGAUGAGGAAAGAUGGAGAAAGAUGUAAAUAGCAUCACUAUUGUGUUUCUCCUUCAGUAGAGUUGCAUGCCAGUAUACAUUGCUUCUCCAACAUUCUCAGCUAAUUGUGAAAUAUAUGUAUUCCUCAAUAGAUGAAUGACCUACAGAUACUAUGGUUGGCAUUAAACUCUAUGUAUUGUAAAGUUAGCUGUAGUACAGCUGCUAGUAGUUCUGUGAUACUCACACAGGAAAAAGUCUCAUGUUUUUACAUGUCAAUAAACCAACUAACUUUAAGUGAAUUUAGUUGAAAAACAAAUCAAGAAAAGAUUACAUAGAGUCUCUUGUGACAUCAAAUUUCCAAUCGUAAAACUUCACUUAGGUGAAGUUUGAACCUGAGUGCAAGAUUAGUAGGUGAAGCUUAUAGCAGGUAAUUAAUUGCUCCAGUGGAGGAUACUAGGUGGAAGCAAUCAGUUUUAAGUAAAGCCAGUGUUCUCUAGCAUGGUAGACAACAGUGAUAUAUUAAGAAUGCAACAAUACUGCAAAGUCCAUGAGCAAAAAAUAUCUUAGUUUUAAGACAUAAAGUAUUAGAUUAUCAAGUCAACACUUCCCAGUAAGUAGUAGCUUUUGGAGACUUUCAGAUGUUCUCUGAAGACUCAUUCUGAGUUAACAUCUUCUGUAAUCACCUCUGUUUUCUACCCAUCUGUGACAUUUCAUUUGUUGCAAAAAGGAUGAAAGUAAGAACAUCCUAAAAAUCAUGCAGUGAUUCUUACUCUAACCUCUGCUAAUGAAGUGCGAGCUGAUUAACUGUUUACAAGCAUUGAAUUAACUCCUCUGCUUGGAGACUUAUAUUGACUCAAAAUAUCCACAGAUCAAAUGUACAUGUUCUCUUUGAUUUUUUUAUUGCACCCAACAGUACAGAGUCUGAUAGCACAGAAAGGCUUCAACAGAAGCUCCAGUGUUGUGAAAUAAACACAUGACUUGUGAGAUUACAGUAUUUACUGGUGAUCACAGCACUAUCCAAUUUCAACAUCCUGUAUGAGGAGACUGCAGCCGUGUAGGCAUGUUUUUCUUGGUUACACUGCAGCAUCCUUUUCUUAAGACAUACUUCCAAGAAGUUGUAUCACAUGAGCAAUGAGUAAAUUUUGUGUAAAGCACCUUAAACUGUUUCUCAAAUUAAACAGCACAAUGUAAAAUAUAAACAAUUAUUUAAUAGUUAAAACAUUGAGCUAUCAUGUACUCAAUUGAAAAAAAAAAAAAAAUGUCCUCUGAUUUCCCAGGCAGGUCAUUCUUGAGUAGGAAAUAUUAGAUAGAUCAAAGAGCUUUAAAGACAGAGUAAGUUAUAAAAGAUCAUUAAUUUUCUCCUUACUCCUGGAUAAGGAGUGUAAGAUAGUAUCAGACUAUCACUAGAGAGGACUUACCCCAAAUUAAAUUAGUCAAAUCAAUCAAAUAGAACCACUAUGCUGCUGAACACAAGGCUCAGAAGAAAAUGUCAUUUGAAGUUCCACUUGAAGUUGUUCCCCAGGCAGUUUGCAGUGGUAUGUAUAUAAUAUAACAUCACUUGGUAACGUGAGACAAUUAUUUUUGUAUUUAGGGAAGGUAAUUAGGAAAAAAUGUUUAAAUCAUGGGAAUACUUUUUUCCUCUUCUAAAAAGUUUGUCAUUGGUUGGUCCUUCUGGCUACCAGGGUGCACUGCCAGCACAGAUACAAAUAGUCACCAACCAGAAGACCCAGAUCUCUUUUUGCGGCGCUGCUCUCCAGGCCCUUGCUCCCCCAGUUUGUACAUACAGUCAGGGCUACCCCAUUCCAGGUGCAGAACCCAACACUUGCUCUUCUUCACACACAUGGGGACCAUCCUCAAAUUUAUCCAGAUCUUGGUGCAAGGCCUCUCUGCCCACAAGGGAGUUAGCACUCCUCCCAGCAAGCAUCAUCCACAAAUUAACUUAAUAUAACUUCCAGAUCUUUAGUAGAAUCGAUAGUGAAAACAUGAAAGAGAAAUGGCCUCAAAAUGAAACACCACAGAAUCUCACUGGAGACAAGUAGGGCAACUCUCAGUCCAUGCCUCUCGUCACCCAACAAAGACGUGUUUCUGUUCUCCUGGGAUGUUCAUAGGGUCACAAUGCUAUGACCUUAUGAUUUGAUGGGCCACCUCUCAGAAAACUGCUAUAACUACAGGGAUUCUGACAUCAGAACACCAAUUGUGGCAUGAGCCAGACAGCCAGCCAAGGCAGGCAGGCAGGGACUGUGACUCCAGACAGUCAGCCAAGGUAUGCAGGCAGGGGCUUUGUCUCGAGCCAGCCUAGACAGGCAGGCAGGGGCCAUGACUCCAGCGAGCAAGCCAAGGCAGGGAGGCAGGCAGGCAGGAGCCGUGACUCCAGCCAGUCAGCCAAGACAGGCAGGCAGGGGUCGUGAAUCCAGCAAGCAAGCAAAGGCAAAAAGGCAGGCAGGGGCCAUGACUCCUGCCAGCCAACCAAGUCAGGCAGGCAGGGGCUGUGACUCCAGCCAGCCAGUGAGCCAAGGCAGGCAGGCAGGGGCCAGGACUCCAGCCAGUCACCCAGCCAAGACAGGCAGUAAGGCAGGGGCCAUGACUCCAGCCAGUCAGCCCAGGCAGGCAGGCAGGGGCUGUGUCUCCAGCCAUCCAGCCUAGGCAUGCUAG